AGAGUUUGAUCCUGGCUCAGGAUGAACGCUAGCGACAGGCCUAACACAUGCAAGUCGAGGGGCAACAUGGUAUCAGCUUGCUGAUACUGAUGGCGACCGGCGCACGGGUGAGUAACGCGUAUGUAAUCUACCUGUAACAGAGGGAUAACCCGGAGAAAUCCGGACUAAUACCUCAUAGCACAUAUUAUUCGCAUGAAUUUUAUGUUAAAGAGACUCGGUUACAGAUGAACAUGCGUUCCAUUAGCUAGUUGGCGGGGUAACGGCCCACCAAGGCAACGAUGGAUAGGGGUUCUGAGAGGAAGGUCCCCCACACUGGUACUGAGACACGGACCAGACUCCUACGGGAGGCAGCAGUGAGGAAUAUUGGUCAAUGGGCGAAAGCCUGAACCAGCCAAGUCGCGUGGAGGAAGACGGCCCUACGGGUUGUAAACUCCUUUUACCUGGGAAUAACGGGCGCUACGUGUAGCGCUGUGCAAGUACCGGGAGAAUAAGCAUCGGCUAAUUCCGUGCCAGCAGCCGCGGUAAUACGGAAGAUGCGAGCGUUAUCCGGAUUUAUUGGGUUUAAAGGGUGCGUAGGCGGAAGAAUAAGUCAGCGGUGAAAUGCUUCAGCUCAACUGGAGAAUUGCCGAUGAAACUGUUUUUCUAGAGUAUAAAAGAGGUAUGCGGAAUGCGUGGUGUAGCGGUGAAAUGCAUAGAUAUCACGCAGAACCCCGAUUGCGAAGGCAGCAUACUGGGCUAUAACUGACGCUGAAGCACGAAAGCGUGGGUAUCGAACAGGAUUAGAUACCCUGGUAGUCCACGCCGUAAACGAUGAAUACUAACUGUUUGCGAUAUAAUGUAAGCGGUACAGCGAAAGCGUUAAGUAUUCCACCUGGGGAGUACGCCGGCAACGGUGAAACUCAAAGGAAUUGACGGGGGCCCGCACAAGCGGAGGAACAUGUGGUUUAAUUCGAUGAUACGCGAGGAACCUUACCCGGGCUUGAAUUGCAACUGAAUGAUGUGGAGACAUGUCAGCCGCAAGGCAGUUGUGAAGGUGCUGCAUGGUUGUCGUCAGCUCGUGCCGUGAGGUGUCGGCUUAAGU
rnacentral:rRNA from 1 species